GGCGACUUGCGAUAGUGGUUAUUCGGUGAGUUUAGAAAGCUCAUGACUUCGGUCUCGUAGGUUCGAGUCCUACAGUCGUCG